rnacentral:misc_RNA from 1 species
GAUGAAGAACGUAGCGAAAUGCGAUGCUUGGUGUGAAUUGCAGAAUCCCGUGAACCAUCGAGUCUUUGAACGCAAGUUGCGCCCGAAGCCUUUAGGCCGAGGGCACGCCUGCCUGGGCGUCACAUGCCGUUGCCCCCCCGCGCCUCCCUCGGGAGCGUCGGGGGGCGGACGAUGGCCUCCCGUGCGUCACCCCGCGCGGCUGGCACAAAUGCCGGGUCCUCGGCGACGAACGCCACGACAAUCGGUGGUUGUCGAACCUCGGUUGCCCGUUGUGCGCUUUCGUCGCGCUCCGAUCGGCCCGCGACGCUCACUGCCCUGCUUCGGCGGAGCUUUCGACGCGACCCCAGGUCAGGCGGGGUUACCCGCUGAAUUUAAGCAUAUCAAUAAGCGGAGGA